GUGGCUUCUGCCUCCAUUCUGACUUCCAAAUCUCUUGCAAAUGCAUAUAAUUGGUUGAACCUAAUUCACAGUUAGAACCCCAGCUGCAAGUGAGACUGGAAAAAUGGCUCUCAGAGUUCCCGCCUCUGCAGUAGAGGAAGACACUCCAGAAGGAGUUGAGAAUGGGUGCUGAGUGCCUCUUCAGGAUGUCUGUCACACCUCAGGAAACCUGCCAGGAAUACCAAAGGGAGUGAAAAAUCCAAGGUUGGGAAGCCCUGGGACAUUGAAGUUACAACUGGACGAUAAAAACAGAGUUUUUUCCUUGUGACGUGACCACUGUGAUGUAAAGCUGUAUCUCCUUCAUUUCAUCAAGAAAUUCUUAAAAUUCUCCCCCAACGUGCUUUCAUCUUUCCCUUCAUUGCCAACUCUGAAUACUUGUCAUUGAAAUUAGGGCCCACCUGGAUAAUCCAUGAUGAUCUCAUCUCAAGAUCCUUAACUUAAUGACAUCUGCAGAGACUGGUUUAUCAAAUAAGGGACUGUGGCUAUAUCGCUGACCUCAAGAAAACCUGCGGACAAAAUCUGCUAAAGAAGUAUCAGCAUCUAUUUCAAAAGUUAGCCAUUAUUUUAAGAAGACUGUGCUGGAAGACGGGUAUUUAACACAAACAGAUGCAAAAGAUACGGGGUUUCACCGUGUUGACCAGACUGAUUUUGAACUUCUGGGCUCAAUCAGUCCACCUGCCUCGGCCUCCCAAAGUGCUGAGAUUAUAGGUGUGAGCCCCUGCGCCUGGCCAGGGAUGCCGUUCUUCACUCUCCAGGUGGAAACAAAGUUAAACAGAUUUCUCUACGGCAGCAGGACUCAGAGCUUUUUUGAAUUGUCUGACGGGCA
rnacentral:lncRNA from 10 species